AACGAACGCUGGCGGCAGGCUUAACACAUGCAAGUCGAACGCCCCGCAAGGGGAGUGGCAGACGGGUGAGUAACGCGUGGGAACGUGCCCUUCGCUUCGGAAUAGCCCCGGGAAACUGGGAGUGAUACCGGAUACGCCGUAUUGGGAAAGAUUUAUCGGCGAAGGAUCGGCCCGCGUUAGAUUAGGUAGUUGGCGGUGUAAUGGACCACCAAGCCUACGAUCUAUAGCUGGUCUGAGAGGAUGAUCAGCCACACUGGGACUGAGACACGGCCCAGACUCCUACGGGAGGCAGCAGUGGGGAAUCUUGGACAAUGGGCGCAAGCCUGAUCCAGCCAUGCCGCAUGAGUGAAGAAGGCCUUAGGGUUGUAAAACUCUUUCGCCGGAGAAGAUAAUGACGGUAUCCGGAGAAGAAGCCCCGGCUAACUUCGUGCCAGCCGCCGCAGUAAUAC
rnacentral:rRNA from 1 species